GAUGAACGCUGACAGAAUGCUUAACACAUGCAAGUCGAUGGGGAAGUGGUGCUUGCACCAUGGUAAACAUGGCGGACGGGUGAGUAACGCGUAAGGAACUUGCCUGCGGGACUGGGAUAACAGCAGGAAACUGCUGAUAAUACCGGAUAAGGUCAUUAAGCUGCAUAGCUUAGUGAUGAAAGGAGACGCCUGCGGAGAGACUUGCGUACUAUUAGCUAGUUGGAGGGGUAACGGCCCACCAAGGCGAAGAUAGGUAGCCGGCCUGAGAGGGUGGACGGCCACAAGGGGACUGAGAUACGGCCCUUACUCCUACGGGAGGCAGCAGUGGGGAAUAUUGGACAAUGGGGGCAACCCUGAUCCAGCAAUUCUGUGUGCACGAAGACGGUUUUCGGAUUGAAAAGUGCUUUCAGCAGGGAAGAAGGAAGUGACGGUACCUGCAGAAGAAGCGACGGCUAAAUACGUG
rnacentral:rRNA from 1 species